rnacentral:rRNA from 1 species
UAGGGAAUCUUCGGCAAUGGGGGCAACCCUGACCGAGCAACGCCGCGUGAGUGAAGAAGGUUUUCGGAUCGUAAAGCUCUGUUGUAAGAGAAGAACGAGUGUGAGAGUGGAAAGUUCACGCUGUGACGGUAUCUUACCAGAAAGGGACGGCUAACUACGUGCCAGCAGCCGCGGUAAUACGUAGGUCCCGAGCGUUAUCCGGAUUUAUUGGGCGUAAAGCGAGCGCAGGCGGUUAGAUAAGUCUGAAGUUAAAGGCUGUGGCUUAACCAUAGUACGCUUUGGAAACUGUUUAACUUGAGUGCAAGAGGGGAGAGUGGAAUUCCAUGUGUAGCGGUGAAAUGCGUAGAUAUAUGGAGGAACACCGGUGGCGAAAGCGGCUCUCUGGCUUGUAACUGACGCUGAGGCUCGAAAGCGUGGGGAGCAAACAGGAUUAGAUACCCUGGUAGUCCACGCCGUAAACGAUGAGUGCUAGGUGUUAGACCCUUUCCGGGGUUUAGUGCCGUAGCUAACGCAUUAAGCACUCCGCCUGGGGAGUACGACCGCAAGGUUG